ensembl:lncRNA
GGACUCAUAGGACUGCAUUGGACUCCAUAGAGCUCCCAUAGACCCCCAUAGGACCCCAUAGCCCCCCCAUAGAGACCCCAUAGGACCCCAUAGAACCUCAUAGGGCCCCAUAGAGCCCAAUUGAGCCCCACUGAUCCCCCAUAGAGCCCCAUAGGAGUUCAUUGGCCCCCAUAGGACUGCAUUGGACUCCAUAGAGUUCCAUAGGACUGCAUUGGCCCCCAUAGGCUGCCAUUAGGACCCCAUAGAGCCCCAUAGAGACCCCAUAGAGCCCCAUAGGGACUCAUAGGGCUGCAUUGGACUCCAUAGAGCCCCAUAGGACUGCGUUGGCCCCCAUAGGACUGCAUUGGACUCCAUAGAGCCCCAUAGGACUGCAUUGGCCCCCAUAAGACUGCAUUGGCCCCCAUAGACCCCCAUAAGCCCCCAUAAGGACCCCAUAGAGACCCCAUAGGACCCCAUAAGACCCCAUAAGACCCCAUAAUGUGUCCCCCCCCUGCAGGGGCGCCGUGAGUUGGCGCUGAGCUCCUUCUGGUUGGCCAACUGCUGUAUAAGGACCCCAUAGAGCCCCAUAGAGCCCCAUA